GUCUGUGGCCAUACCACUCUGAAAAUGCCUGAUCUCUUCUGAUCUCAGAAGCUAAGUAGGGUUGGGCCUAGUUAGUACUUGGAUGGGAGAUUGGAAAAUCAACCCUAAAGUUC
rnacentral:rRNA from 1 species